AACGAACGCUGGCGGCAUGCCUAACACAUGCAAGUCGAACGAGACCUUCGGGUCUAGUGGCGCACGGGUGCGUAACGCGUGGGAACCUGCCCUUAGGUUCGGAAUAACUCCCCGAAAGGGGUGCUAAUACCGGAUAAUGUCUUCGGACCAAAGAUUUAUCGCCUUUGGAUGGGCCCGCGUUGGAUUAGCUAGUUGGUAGGGUAAAAGCCUACCAAGGCGACGAUCCAUAGCUGGUCUGAGAGGAUGAUCAGCCACACUGGGACUGAGACACGGCCCAGACUCCUACGGGAGGCAGCAGUGGGGAAUAUUGGACAAUGGGCGAAAGCCUGAUCCAGCAAGGCCGCGUGAGUGAUGAAGGCCUUAGGGUUGUAAAGCUCUUUUACCCGGGAUGAUAAGGACAGUACCGGGAGAAUAAGCUCCGGCUAACUCCGU
rnacentral:rRNA from 1 species